UUCAAUCGUCUACACUUGUUUUGCACUAGAUGGACAAGUCUGGCAAGGUCAUUGCUAAGUGGGAUAGUAGAGCAACAAAAAUUUACACAGAAAUAUGUGUAGAAGAGGUCAAUGCACGGAACAGGCCACAACAAUUCCUAAACGCCGAAGGGUAUGCUAACCUGAUAAGAAAGUUUAAGGAACGCACUGGUCGCACGUACACAAGGGAUCAAAUGAAGAAUAGGUGGGACUCGUUGAAGAGAAUGUUCACCCAGUGGAAAACUCUAAAUGAAAGGGCUACAGGUCUUGGUCGAGACCCUCAUACUGGUUCAAUCAGUGCGCCAGAUGAGUGGUGGGCCAAGCAAAAUGAAGUAAGUAGAUCUUUUUUUUUGUUUUGUAGACUAACAAUAGUAUUUGGCCAUCUCAAACUAGGAACUACCAUGUUGGUGCAGGCAAUGCCAGGUUGUAUUAUGUUCAAAACAGCCCCCCUAGAGAAUGAGGAUGAGCUAAAGGUUAUGUUUGGACCCAUUGUCUGCACAAAUGAAAGAACCCUGGUUCCUGGAGUUGAGGAUGCUAAUUCAUCAUCUGAUGAUCAUUUGGAAGCCACUUUAGGUGGGGGUGAAAACAGCACACCUGACCCCUGCACAAAUGCUACUGGGAAGCGUAAGAUGCGCCAUGAUUCUCCAAAACCAAAGAAGAAAAAAGAUUCGAGGGAAGAGUACAUGAGAAGACUAGUGGAGGCUUUUGAGUCGCGUUCAAUGACCACUAACAAGUCCAUUACCUCUACUGACAAUGACCCUGUUCGACUUGAGAUUAAAAAGCAGCUGCAACAAGUUAUGGAUGAUGGAUCACUAGAAGGAAGCCAAUUACAUUUGUUUGCCACUCAUCUAUUGACUGAGAAAAAGUAUAGAGAUAUUUUUGCAAACUUGCAUACAAAAGAAGGAAGGAUAGCUUGGCUUCGUAAUGCUUACGAGAUAGAUCUUAAAAAGUGCACUUAGCUGCUGGUGGUCCGACAACAGAGGCUUAUUCAGUAUUACCGUUAUGUCGGUCUGUUUUAUGAGUCAUGUCGUUUCAUUGUAGUGAGUAAUAAACUUGUCGUGCGCAUCAGUUUCCCUUGAAAACAGUUUUCCAGAUAUUCAAGUUGAACUUGUAUUUGAAUAAUCUGAGUUGUCUGCUUGUGAACAAUGUGAACGUUCUGUCUCAUUUGAAUACUGAAUAUAUGUGCCUUGUAAACUGUGGUUGUACAUUGAUAUGUCAAGUGUUGUUACAUAUGAAUAUGUCUCUGGUUUUUGUGUGCAUGCAGAUGUCUGACCCUGCUGCACACACAUUUGAUAAUGAAAUGGAUGACAGAGAUGCAGAAUUGGUGGUUGCUAUAUGUGCUGUAGAUGUUUGGGGCAGGAAUAUCAGUCAGGUUCCUAGAAGAACAUUGGUUGAAACUGGUUUGCAAUGGGUGGAGAGAACGUUGGACAAUAGUAACAACUGCUUCGAUAUGUUUCGCAUGCGACGAACUGUGUUUAGACGAUUGCAUGACACAUUGGUGCACAAUUAUGGUCUGAUUCCAAGCCGGGGUGUCAGUACUAUGGAAGCACUUGGCAUAUUUUUGUGGGCAUGUGGUGGUCCACAGUCCUUUAGGCAAAUACGAAAUAAGUUUGGUCACUCCUUGGAAACAAUUAGUCGCAAGUAUAGUGAAGUCCUUGAUGCACUGUUUAAGAUGUCAUCUGACAUCAUUAAGCCCAAAGACCCAUAUUUCACCGAGAUUCAUCCGCGUUUGCGAGAGGCGAGAUUUUGGCCACACUUCAAGGACUGCAUAGGAGCAAUUGAUGGUAGUCACUUUCCAGCGGCAGUCCCGGCCUCAGAGCAAGCCAAAUAUAUUGGACGGCACGGUUAC
rnacentral:lncRNA from 1 species